rnacentral:lncRNA from 1 species
UGCCCGGUGGGCGGCAGAGCCAGGGGCGGCACACAGCUACGCCUGGUCCCACAGGCAGUCCGGAUGCUAAGCCUUCCAGGUGCUGAGACCAAUGGAGUGGGACAGGCGGCCCGGACCAUGCCCACAAGGGAGGAGAGGAGGAGAAGAAAGAGGCUUAGGGUGGAGUCACUGCCGGGCCCUACCAUGCCACUCAAGCCUAGAGUCCCAGGACGGCUCAGGACAGAGGGACCAGAGACAGGGCUCUCAGCCGCGAAAGCAGGCAGCCAGGGUACUGGGGGGAUAGUCCAGGCCUAGCACCCCUGGCCCAUCCUGCUACUGAUCCACUCUGCUUCAGAUCCCGGUUAAGCAUGCGUGGGCAACCAUGGGGCCGCGGGCAGACAGGUAGGGUCCCCCUCACGGAGGCCCUCCUGGGCUCUCUCCCGCUGCUGAUCUGCAAGGCCCCAGAUCGCCAGCCUCCAGGGAGAAACUCCUCCAUGGUUUAGCCGUGUGUUUGCUCUAGAAGGGAGAAGCAAGCUCCCUGGAGGUGACAGAGCAGCAGCAUCUCUGGCCCUUCUAGGGCCCUGCUUGGUGCUGCCUUACUUGGAAGGCCCAGAGUUGCAUCAGUGGCUGCAGUGACAAAGCCCAAGGGGACAGUCCAGGAAACUAGCACCCCCAUCUGCAGUGUCCAUGAUGACAGCCACCACCUGCCAGGACACCCUCCUCUGCCUGUGCCUAAGGUGGCUGGGAGCCAGGGCACGUGUUAGUGGACAGUGGUGAGUGGGUCCCACCAAGCCUGUGCCAGGGAGGACCCAUGAGUGUUCGGUG